rnacentral:rRNA from 1 species
UACGUAGGAGGCGAGCGUUGUCCGGAGUUACUGGGCGUAAAGGGUGCGCCAGGCGGUGGCCCGCGUGGGCGGUGAAGCUCCUGGCUCAACUGGGAGAGGGCCGUCCAGACGGGGUCACUUGAGGGGCGGGAGAGGGGCGUGGAAUUCCGGGUGGAGCGGUGAAAUGCGUAGAGAUCCGGAGGAACACCGACGGCGAAGGCAGCGCCCUGGCCGCCAUCGUGACG